GUAGGGAAUCUUCGGCAAUGGGGGGAACCCUGACCGAGCAACGCCGCGUGAGUGAAGAAGGUUUUCGGAUCGUAAAGCUCUGUUGUUAAGGAAGAACGAGUGUGAGAAUGGAAAGUUCAUACUGUGACGGUACUUAACCAGAAAGGGACGGCUAACUACGUGCCAGCAGCCGCGGUAAUACGUAGGUCCCGAGCGUUGUCCGGAUUUAUUGGGCGUAAAGCGAGCGCAGGCGGUUAGAAAAGUCUGAAGUGAAAGGCAGUGGCUCAACCAUUGUAGGCUUUGGAAACUGUUUAACUUGAGUGCAGAAGGGGAGAGUGGAAUUCCAUGUGUAGCGGUGAAAUGCGUAGAUAUAUGGAGGAACACCGGUGGCGAAAGCGGCUCUCUGGUCUGUAACUGACGCUGAGGCUCGAAAGCGUGGGGAGCGAACAGGA
rnacentral:rRNA from 1 species